rnacentral:tRNA from 1 species
GGGGUUGUGGCUCAGUGGUAGAGUGCUUGCCUAGCACACAUGAGGCACUGGGUUCAAACCUCAGCACCACA